CAGUGACAAGGUCUCCCGGAUGCCCNCAAAUGGCGGACGGGUGAGUCAUGCGUAGGAAUCUGUCUUUUAGUGGGGGACAACCCAGGGAAACUUGGGCUAAUACCGCAGAGCCCUGAGGGGGAAAGCGGGGGAUCUUCGGACCUCGCGCUAAGAGAGGAGCCUACGUCCGAUUAGCUAGUUGGCGGGGUAAAGGCCCACCAAGGCGACGAUCGGUAGCUGGUCUGAGAGGACGACCAGCCACACUGGGACUGAGACACGGCCCAGACUCCUACGGGAGGCAGCAGUGGGGAAUUUUUCGCAAUGGGGGCAACCCUGACGAAGCAAUGCCGCGUGGAUGAAGAAGGCCUUCGGGUUGUAAAGUCCUUUCGUGGAGGACGAAAAGGUGGGUUCUAAUACAAUCUGCUAUUGACGUGAAUCCAAGAAGAAGCACCGGCUAACUCCGUGCCAGCAGCCGCGGUAAUACGGGGGGUGCAAGCGUUAAUCGGAAUCACUGGGCGUAAAGGGUGCGUAGGCGGUACGUUAGGUCUGUCGUGAAAUCCCCGGGCUCAACCUGGGAAUGGCGGUGGAAACCGGUGUACUAGAGUAUGGGAGAGGGUGGUGGAAUUCCAGGUGUAGCGGUGAAAUGCGUAGAGAUCUGGAGGAACAUCAGUGGCGAAGGCGGCCACCUGGCCCAAUACUGACCCUGAGGCACGAAAGCGUGGGGAGCAAACAGGAUAGAUACCCUGGUAGUCCACGCCCUAAACNAUGAAUACUAUAUGUUUGGUGCCUAGCGNACUGAGUGUCGUAGCUAACGCGAUAAGUAUUCCNCCGGGAAGUACGGCCGCACGUUANAACUCAAAGGAAUUGACGGGGCCCGCACAAUCGGUGGAGCAGUGGUUUAAUCCAUGCACGCGAAUAACCUUAC
rnacentral:rRNA from 1 species